AUCCAGACUCCUACGGGAGGCAGCAGUGAGGAAUAUUGGUCAAUGGGCGAGAGCCUGAACCAGCCAAGUCGCGUGAAGGAUGACGGCCCUGCGGGUUGUAAACUUCUUUUGUCAGGGAGCAAUUGAGUCCACGUGUGGGCUUAGCGAGAGUACCUGAAGAAAAAGCAUCGGCUAACUCCGUGCCAGCAGCCGCGGUAAUACGGAGGAUGCGAGCGUUAUCCGGAUUUAUUGGGUUUAAAGGGUGCGCAGGAGGAGGCGAAUGACGGGGGAAAAAUUGGGGGGCUCCACCUCUCCCCGCCGUUGAAACUGCGUUUCUUGAGUGGGCGAGAAGUACGCGGAAUGCGUGGUGUAGCGGUGAAAUGCAUAGAUAUCACGCAGAACUCCGAUUGCGAAGGCAGCAUACCGGCGCGCAACUGACGCUCAUGCACGAAAGCGUGGGUAUCGAACAGGAUUAGAUACCCCAGUA
rnacentral:rRNA from 1 species